UACGUAGGCAGCGAGCGUUGUUCGGAGUUACUGGGCGUAAAGGGUGCGUAGGCGGUUGUUUAAGUUUGGUGUGAAAUCUCCCGGCUCAACUGGGAGGUGCGCCGAAUACUGAAUGACUAGAGUGCGGGAGAGGAUAGUGGAAUUCCUGGUGUAGCAGUGAAAUGCGUAGAUAUCAGGAGGAACACCGAUGGCGAAGGCAGGUCUCUGGGCUGACACUGACGCUCAUGCACGAAAGCGUGGGGAGCAAACAGG
rnacentral:rRNA from 1 species